GACGAACGCUGGCGGCGUGCUUAACACAUGCAAGUCGAGCGGUAAGGCCCUUUCGGGGGUACGACGAGCGGCGAACGGGUGAGUAACACGUGGGUGACCUGCCCUUACGCUCUGGGAGUAAGCCUGGGAAACGUGGGUCGUAAUACCGGAUAUGACUCCAUGACGCAUGUUGUGGGGUGGAAAGCCUUGUGCGGCUAGGGAUGGGCCCGCGG
rnacentral:rRNA from 1 species